rnacentral:lncRNA from 1 species
UUUUUUUGAUGAAUUUUCUUUGUACAUUUAUUCUUUGGUCAUGCUCUUACCGCCAAAAUGAAACUCAGCAGAUGAAUCCCUAUAGUUGGGAAGCGAUACAAGUGCAAAGACUGUCAUGAUGAUGGUGUUGCUGCCACUAGAGGCACAGAUCUUCUCAAUCGACAUCACAGACAAGGCCAUACAUUUGAGCUAGUGAAUAAGUACAUACGGGUGAGCGGUCAAGCAUGUUGAGGUUGGUACUGAUCACUCUUCUUGAAGUUUUUUCCCGGUGGUUUCUUACGAGGCUGCAGAGAAACUAGAGAUCCAGGGUAUUCUUUCUCAUAAAUUCUCGGGCACACUUCUGAAUCUUUUUUACUUCCAAUGAAGUAGCUUUUUCAAUAGCUCUUUGACUCUUUCAUCGUCUCCCUUUGACAUUCCAUCAUUUGCUACAGGAUUGUUCUGAUUAUAAGUGACCGUUUGGGGUUGAUGUUAUUCUGGCAGUUCCUGAUCAAGAAAGGGAUUUCAGAUUAUCUGGGGUGACUACCAAAAGUAGCUAGUACUUCAAGCUCACCAAGAUGGUGUCAAGGUUAUUCACCAAGUGAGUGAAAUCUUUACACUGGAGCACUUCUAAUAUGCUGGAAUCUUACAUAAUCUAGAGAGAACCAACUACCAGUAACCUUGCAGGCUUGCACCUCAUUCACUCAAAUGUCUUACAUUGAGGGUUCGAAGUUCGAACAUUUGAAGUAGCUGAGAAUUUUAUUACUCAUUCAUGCUGGUAGAGAUCACUGUCCAAGGACUCAAAGCUGGGGAGGUAUGUCAUUCGAUUCGACAGGAUUUUUUUCUUUCAAGCAAACGCCUUUCAUUAUACAGUUGCCUGCCCCAAAAUUGACCUCUGCUAAUAUUUUGAAAGGAUCGUAGCAACUGUGUCACGAAGUUACUUGUUUCUCCCAAACCACCAAUUAAGACACCUUUCAGUUCAGUGCUUCCGUUUGUAGAAACAGCUAUCCGUCCAGCAACACCUAGAUUUCCUCGCGCUGCACUAUUGGUACUCAUCUUCAUGACACACGUUGGAAAAAAUCUCCAAUAGCAUUUUGUUGUCCUUGCUUGCGUUUUAAGACUCUUGUUUCCAGCUUAAAGUUGUGAAGUAUUGGCCAGUGUUGUUCAUAGCAUCUAGCACUUUACGCAAGCUAUCCUGAUUUCUGUCAAGCAUAUUGAGGUCAGUACUGAUCACUCUUAUUUAAGUUCUUUCCCAGUGGUUUCUUAUGAGGCGUACUUGUGCUUUUUUUUUCUUAUCAAUAAAAGUAGCUUUUUCAUUAGCUCUUUGACUCUUUCAUUGUCACUAUUUGACAUUCCACCAUUUAUUACAGGAUUGUUGAUCGGGAUGAUAAGAGAACUAAUAAGGAAGGCAAGAGCCUUGACUGAUGGUUUGGGGUUGAUGUUAUUCUGGCAGUUCCUGAUCAAGAUUGGGUUAAUUCUCAGGUUAUCUGGGGUGACUACUAAAAAAAACUAGUACUUAAAGCUCACCAAGCUGGUGUCAAGGUUGUUCACCAAGUGAGUGCGCUUUGUACUCUCAACCACGAAUACGAAUAAUAUGCUGGAAAUCUUACAUGAUCUAGAGAUAUCCAACUACCAGGCACCUUGCAGGCUUGCACCUCAUUCACUCUGUUGUAUUACAUGGAGGGUUGGAACAUUUGAAGUAGCUGAGAAUGUUAUUACUCAUCAAUGCUGGGGUAACGCAAAUUUCGACUUUCAAUUGGGGGGUAAGUGCCAAAAUCUCAAAAAAAAGAAUGAAGACUUUUCUUCACUCAGUUGUUUGCCAAAAAAAUAAUCUCUUAUUUGUUAGGUAUAAGGAUCACCCAUACUUCCAUUCUUUUACCUCUGCCAAUGUUUUGAGAUGGUCUCAUAGCCG